GGCUUAUCCAGAAAGACGGAGGGACGGACCCGAUGAAGUCUUGGCAACCCUUUCAAAACCAAGAGGUUAUUGAAACUCGGUGCCAAUUUCCUCCCGGUAAACUAACCGGGCCAGAUAAGUU
rnacentral:ncRNA from 2 species